rnacentral:lncRNA from 1 species
CUACAGUUGGAUAGGAAAUACUGGGCUCAAUGUGUUUAAGGUUAAGAUUAAUUCCUCACUUCCUCCGAAUCUAUUUUAAAAACAGAGCAAAGGAUGGCAUAUGCUUUCUUCUAACAAAAUGACAGAUGAUCAAAGGAUAAACAUGAUCUGCAUGUAAAACCCUCUGACUACUGCCAUGGCCCUUUGCCUACAGAUUAAAAAAAAAAAAGCAGUAUUUUAUCAAUGUGGUUAAAAUUUGGUUGUCUGUGUUUAUUCAGAAAACUCAGUAGUGGCAACAGCCAGAAAAAUAGUGAAUCAUGAUUGGCUAAAUUGAAACAAGCCAGUAGUAGAACAAAGGAAAAACUUAGUGGUACUCUGCUCUUAAAUGUCUGCUUCACAGCAAUGAACAGAGACCACAGCCUCUCUCUCUGCAAGAGGGAGCUUGAGGUUCAAGUCUGAGACUUAGUUUCUGAAAGCAGAAAUCUGCCUGCUGUCGAGGCGGCAAAUCAAUUUUUCUGAUUUGCCGUAACAAUCCUAAUUGAUGUUGGCUCAUUAUUAUUCCCUGCGUUAUGUAAACAAGAACUCUCAUUGUGUGCAGCCACUCAUUAGGGCUGAUUUAAUUGAAUUUGAGAAGGAAAG